rnacentral:sRNA from 1 species
CCAACCACAGCCUCCAGCACCCGAGAGAACGGCCGCCCACGGCACACGUUUUCCGGGCAGGAGGCGAAGGCCCAAGACCUAGAGAGGUGGGCUCGAGGGAAAGAUCUGGGUCCCACCACUACUUCCUGGAGACGCCGGGGAAAGCAGGCCAUCCUUCGAGCCACCCAUCUCUUCUCCGAUUGGUUAACUGCCCUCUUAUUGCGCUCCUCUGGCUGGUGAUUGGUUGGGAUGCACCGUCUAUCACCUGCUUCCUUAUGGGCAGCUCUCAAAAGAGGCACAAACAAUUGAAGGAUGGAUACCAUGACAUAUGUUAAAAGCGUGUUGAAAGGAAA